rnacentral:rRNA from 1 species
UUUAGCCUACGGGGGGCAGCAGUGGGGAAUAUUGGGCAAUGGACGCAAGUCUGACCCAGCAACGCCGCGUGAAGGAAGAAGGCUUUCGGGUUGUAAACUUCCUUUAAGGGGGAAGAGAAGAAGACGGUACCCCUUGAAUAAGCCACGGCUAACUACGUGCCAGCAGCCGCGGUAAUACGUAGGUGGCAAGCGUUGUCCGGAUUUACUGGGUGUAAAGGGCGUGCAGCCGGAGAGACAAGUCAGAUGUGAAAUCCACGGGCUCAACCCGUGAACUGCAUUUGAGACUGUUUCCAUUGAGGGUCGGG